CAGUCGCCGCGGUAAUACGGAGGGGGCUAGCGUUGUUCGGAAUUACUGGGCGUAAAGCGCACGUAGGCUGCUUUGUAAGUCAGAGGUGAAAGCCCGGGGCUCAACCCCGGAUGUGCCUUUGAGACUGCAGGGCUAGAACGUCGGAGAGGUGAGUGGAAUUCCGAGUGUAGAGGUGAAAUUCGUAGAUAUUCGGAAGAACACCAGUGGCAAAGGCGGCUCACUGGACGACUGUUGACGCUGAGGUGCGAAAGCGUGGGGAGCAAACAGGAUUAGAUACCCCGGUAGUCCCUGUCUCUUAUAC
rnacentral:rRNA from 1 species